rnacentral:tRNA from 1 species
AAAUUGAUUGUGCUAGAUCAAUUAUUUUUAAUUGCAAAUUAAUAGUUUACCCUAUAUUUUUCAGUUUA